rnacentral:rRNA from 1 species
AUUGAACGCUGGCGGCAGGCCUAACACAUGCAAGUCGAACGAGUGGCGGACGGGUGAGUAAUGUCUGGGAAACUGCCUGAUGGAGGGGGAUAACUACUGGAAACGGUAGCUAAUACCGCAUACCAUCGGAUGUGCCCAGAUGGGAUUAGCUAGUAGGUGGGGUAACGGUUCACCGAGGCGACGAUCCCUAGCUGGUCUGAGAGGAUGACCAGCCACACUGGAACUGAGACACGGUCCAGACUCCUACGGGAGGAAGCAGUGGGGAAUAUUGCACAAUUGGAGCAAGCCUGAUGCAGCCAUGCCGCGUGUAAGAAGAAGGCCUUCGGGUUGUAAAGUACUUUCAGCGGGGAGGCAUUACCCGCAGACGAAGCACCAACUGACUCCGUGCCAGCAGCCGCGGUAAUUC